UACGAAGGGGGCUAGCGUUGCUCGGAAUCACUGGGCGUAAAGGGUGCGUAGGCAGGUCUUUAAGUCAGGGGUGAAAUCCUGGAGCUCAACUCCAGAACUGCCUUUGAUACUGAGGAUCUUGAGUUCGGGAGAGGUGAGUGGAACUGCGAGUGUAGAGGUGAAAUUCGUAGAUAUUCGCAAGAACACCAGUGGCGAAGGCGGCUCACUGGCCCGAUACUGACGCUGAGGCACGAAAGCGUGGGGAGCAAACAGGG
rnacentral:rRNA from 1 species